GAUGAACGCUGGCGGCGUGCCUAAUACAUGCAAAUCGAGCGAACGGACGAGAAGCUUGCUUUUCUGAUGUUAGCGGCGGACGGGUGAGUAACACGUGGAUAACCUACCUAUAAGACUGGGAUAACUCGGGAAACCGGAGCUAAUACCGGAUAAUAUUUUGAACCGCAUGGUUCAAAAGUGAAAGACGGUCUUGCUGUCACUUAUAGAUGGAUCCGCGCUGCAUUAGCUAGUUGGUAAGGUAACGGCUUACCAAGGCAACGAUGCAUAGCCGACCUGAGAGGGUGAUCGGCCACACUGGAACUGAGACACGGUCCAGACUCCUACGGGAGGCAGCAGUAGGGAAUCUUCCGCAAUGGGCGAAAGCCUGACGGAGCAACGCCGCGUGAGUGAUGAAGGUCUUCGGAUCGUAAAACUCUGUUAUUAGGGAAGAACAUAUGUGUAAGUAACUGUGCACAUCUUGACGGUACCUAAUCAGGAAGCCACGGCUAACUACGUG
rnacentral:rRNA from 1 species